CUACGGGUUGCUGCAGUGGGGAAUAUUGCACAAUGGGCGAAAGCCUGAUGCAGCAACGCCGCGUGAGGGACGACGGCCUUCGGGUUGUAAACCUCUUUUAGCAGGGAAGAAGCGAAAGUGACGGUACCUGCAGAAAAAGCACCGGCUAACUACGUGCCAGCAGCCGCGGUAAUACGUAGGGUGCAAGCGUUGUCCGGAAUUAUUGGGCGUAAAGAGCUCGUAGGCGGUGUGUCGCGUCUGCUGUGAAAAUCCGAGGCUCAACCUCGGACCUGCAGUGGGUACGGGCAAACUAGAGUGCGGUAGGGGAGAUGGGAAUUCCUGGUGUAGCGGUGGAAUGCGCAGAUAUCAGGAGGAACACCAAUGGCGAAGGCAGAUCUCUGGGCCGUAACUGACGCUGAGGAGCGAAAGCGUGGGGAGCGAACAGGAUUAGAUACCCCCGUAGUC
rnacentral:rRNA from 1 species